rnacentral:rRNA from 1 species
CUGGGAUUAGAUACCCCACUAUUCUUAGCUGUAAAUAAAUAUCAAAUUUACCAGAGCACUAUGAAUAUUAAAAUUUAAAACUCAAAGAGCUUGGCGGUGUUUUAGACUACUUAGGGGAACCUGUCUCGUAAUCGAUAAUCCACGGUACACCUUACCUUUUAUUGAAAUCAGUUUGUACACCGUUGUCAUCAGGUAACUUUUUAGAAAAACUAGGUUAGCAAUAGAAUUAAUAAUAAAUUUAUAUGUCAAAUCAAGGUGCAGCUAAUGAAAAGGGGAGGAUGGGUUACAAUUAAGAUUUAUAAAAUGGAUCAAGCAAUGCAAUUUGCUCGUAAAGGAGGACUUAAAAGUAAUGCUAUAUAUAAAAAUAGCUUGAAUAAAGCUCUGAAAUGUGCACACACCGCCCGUCACCCUCUGCAGUCAAAA